AUAACCAGCCCACCACGGCACGUUGUGAGGUCACCCACAGGCUCGACUUUCGAUUGUGGGCCUUGACAAAGAGCAGCUGAAUGCGUGUUGCUAGAAUUCCUGACCUCUGUCUUGAAACACAGAAGAGGAUUGCGGAAGAACACGCGCUCAUAAGUCAGGUCCGGGCGAUGACUGAGUUCUGGUACGAUCCUCUGCGACGAGUCGCUUUCUGGCCUAGUUUCUGUUUCGUCCAGUGCUCCCGCAUGUGCCGCGGGAGCACACGUUGGCGGUCUGGACCUCGAGUCCUCUCAGCCGGGCAUCAGAACGAGUGGUGUAAAGUCCAAGCCCAUCGGUCACGUCUCGAAACACGGGCCAAGGAGUAUAGCAUGUGUGCAAGUCUAAGAGUCUCUCAAAACUCGAAGGCGAAGUGAAAGCAAGUAUGCGGCGGGUGAUCCACGGAGAUCCCGUCAGCUAGAGAGGUCAAACUCUCCGGCUUUGGCAGAGUUGAUCCUGCAGCGGUACAGCACACGUACGCUCAGGCGCAAACUCCAGGCUCACGUUUGUGUGGUUUUCGGACUGCACUGUGAGCACUGUGGAGCAUGCAUGCUAUGACCCGAAAGAUAGUGAACUAUGCCUGGCGAGGGCGAAGCCCCAGGAAACUGGGGUGGAGGCCCGUAGCCGUUGUGACGUGCAAAUCCAU
rnacentral:rRNA from 1 species